GACGAACGCUGGCGGCGUGCUUAACACAUGCAAGUCGAACGGAAAGGCCCUGCUUUUGUGGGGUGCUCGAGUGGCGAACGGGUGAGUAACACGUGAGUAACCUGCCCUUGACUUUGGGAUAACUUCAGGAAGCUGGGGCUAAUACCGGAUAGGAGCUCCUGCUGCAUGGUGGGGGUUGGAAAGUUUCGGCGGUUGGGGAUGGACUCGCGGCUUAUCAGCUUGUUGGUGGGGUAGUGGCUUACCAAGGCUUUGACGGGUAGCCGGCCUGGGAGGGUGACCGGCCACAUUGGGACUGAGGUACGGCCCAGACUCCUACGGGAGGCAGCAGUGGGGAAUAUUGCACAAUGGGCGGAAGCCUGAUGCAGCAACGCCGCGUGCGGGAUGACGGCCUUCGGGUUGAAAACCGCUUUCGCCUGUGACGAAGCGUGAGUGACGGUAAUGGGUAAAGAAGCACCGGCUAACUACGU
rnacentral:rRNA from 1 species